rnacentral:lncRNA from 1 species
UGUCUGUCUACCAUCUUUCUCAUUGGCCAGGAGCCUCCAAAUGGAACCUGCUGGUUCUUGUCUUAGGGGAGAAUUCAGUUGGGAGACACAGACGUUAUAAAUAGAAAUUUACUUAGCAAAGGAAAAGCAAAGUGUAUUUGAGAGAGACUGGAGUGGGCUGCCCUGAGGGUCAGGGAACAGGAAGUUCUCCGGUGUUGAGUUUGAGCGGGUUUUAUGAACACAGGGGAGGUAGGUAUGUUUAUUAGGUAAAGUAAUGCUUUUCUCCUUCCCAAAUUAUGAUGAGGUAUUUCUUGAUUUUUUUUUUCUAGAAAAGUCCACAAGAUAGGGGUUCAAAAUCCCAAUGUAAACAGCAUUAUAAAGAAGCCAAGAUCUUUGAGGAAGCAGGACCGCCCCCAUCAGUGCGCAUGCGUAGUAGAAUGCCCUGGUUCUGCCUCUGAGAGGCACGGCUAUUGUGACGCAGCUUCUGUUUCCUUAGUUACUUCAUGAAACUGCCUAGGGUCCCAUGAUGAUUAUCACGGCUAACUGUUGGUUAAGACAGUUUGCCGUGUUUAAACUUGAGGUUUUAUCACAAAAGCUGGGAAUGAGUUUUACGACAUUUUGUCAAGGUGUCCAAACAGGAAGAAUGUUUGCCUUCUAUCUAGGACCUGUCUCCCAGCUUCACUGCUCAUAGGUAUCCUGUAUCUUACAAUGCUUUAUUCCAGUGGUAAGAAAGGUCUGUGUAAAAAUGGCAACUGGAUCUUGGCAUAAACUACUUCACCGUUGUCUUUCCUCCUCCUUCUUUCCAUUUUUGCCCUUCAUAGCACUCCAGUUGCACUGUGGUUAGUAAUAGACCUUUAUAUUCCGUCAGCUUCGCCUGUUUCUUAGGAGGCGUUUCUACUUAACAAAGGGCGUUUCCGAGGAUACGAAGCACUAGAAGAGAACGGAAUAGGGCGUUCUUGGUGGCAAGCGAAAGAAAUUGAACUACAGACAACAUAGAGUUUGACUUACUGGUAAUAUUUCAGGAAAAGGAUGGGGUUAGAUCUGUCGUCAGGAAUACCUGGAACCGAGAAAUCAAACACUGCGAUAACGCAUGCUGCUUGUCUGCGCAUCGGCUUAUUUGCCCAGGCUAGCCACUUGUGCCUGGCCACAGAGGUCCAGCUUCGGCAUCACAAUCCCCCCCGCCCCCGUGCCCCGUGCCCCAAUAGAAAAUCCUUCUCCAUCAGUUUAACUUGGAAAGAAACCCAGGCUGGAGUUCCAACUGGCCAGAACGGAGUAGUCACGGAGGCCAAAGGAUGAGCCCUUGUGAUUAACCUGCUUGGAUCAAGUCCCCAUCUCUCGGCUUGUUGGAACAUCUACAGGAUGCACGUGGUUCAAGAAGGAUCUACGUGAAGAUGCCUUCUCCAUUCCUGUUUUUAUCCCUCAAGUUUUUCUUCCCUCUAUUUUAUCUAUGUGUUUACAGAGGGACAUGGAGAUAGCACCAGCCCCCAUCACUCUCCAUCUGAUGUAAACUCUGACAUCUAACCAAGAGGAGUGGCCAGUGUUUGUCUUGAGCAGGGGGGCUGCACAUGGCAAGGGCCCUACCAGUGAGAGCAGGAUUCCGGCUGAGUGGCCCCAGGGCAUAGGUCCCACUGAAUUCAUUUUUACUGGCAGGACAGACGUGAACGGGCUCCAGCAGAAAUCUCUAAUCCACUGCUGCAGGGGUUUCUAUGUUUCAGGCACUUGAUAAUGAGAACCAAAUUUUUUUUUUUUUUUUGAGAACCAGAAAUUUUUGUGUGCUGAAAACUGGGGAAAGGGAGGAAGAGGGGAGUUUUUUGUAAGAGGACAGAGAGAGAAAAGGGAACCUGUUUUGUGUCUUGAAUCUUGAUCCUGCAGCCUUCCCCUGUUUUCUUUUUGGUAUAUGUCAGCUCAAGAGCUUGCUUGGGGCUUCCCCCAGUCAGCUCUUUGGGGACAGGAAACAAUGCUUGCUAGAUUUCAGGUCUUAUUCUUAAUCAGCUUGAAAAUUUAGUCAGAAUAAUUCGAGGUACAUAAAAUUGUAAAAAAAAAAAAUCUAUUAAUUAGCUACCCACAGGCUACCUUCUCAAGUUCAAUUUGAGCCCUAAGGAGAAAAUGACAUACAGCUCUGUUGUACAGCCGGGUAUGGAAACCACCUCCCGGGGUAGAAGCAUUAGCAGAGCUACUGCCUCUCAAGGAUUCAGAAGGAAGGCCUUGGGAGCUCAUUACUGGAUCACUGAACUGGGGAGAACCACAGUUCCCUCAGCUCUUUGCUUUAUAUGCAGAUUGCAGUUUGUGUGACAACAGUCUCCGAAAAGGACCAAGCUUCCACUCUGCUAAUGACAGCUGACGUUUCUAAUCGCCCGAGAGGCACGGAUGUCUCAUUUCAGGAGACGCGCAUAGAGGUGACAGGAAUCAGCCCACAGCCUCUGACCCUUGGGGAGCCGAGCACUCAGAAUAGACACAGCCUGGAUUCAGCCAAGAAACACAUUUCUCUUCAUGCCUAUGCCCUUCUGCCCAUUCAUCUUAUCAGAACUCAGUCAGCAGCCAUCCUGUCUCAGCAGUGACAUGUUUCUGCCAACCAGGCAGCCAGUCCUGACCCCAUCUCCCUUUAUUAGCUCCUCCUUCAUUUCUCCCCCCUCCCAUCUUUGUCUGACACCUUGACUAAAGACCCAGUGAUGUAUGUUGUGAUUUUUACAGGGCUCGUCUGGCCUUGAAAUUCUGAAUUUUGAAAAGAGUUCAAGGUGAUGAUACCAAUGUUGCUGGUCCUGAGAACGAACUGUGAAGAGCAAGGGGCUAAGUCACAUGGAAGAUAUAGGGGAGCUGACGCCUCAGGAAUUUCCUCCUUGACUUCUGCAAGAGGUCACCUGGCAAAUCUAAGUCAGACGCUAGACAGCAAAUGGCUAUAGCUUGUUUAACUGGGAUUUCGUUUCUGAUGGACAGAGCGUGAGGACAGCCGCUCUGAUAAGGUGCAGUGUGUGUUUGAUUCUGGAGUUCCGGUAGGAACGUUUUACUUCAUCCUAGAAUAUGUCUGUCGAGUGGCACCUCCUUACAGUGACCUUUGGCCCCAGAAGUACAGUUUUAUGGAAGUUGGAGCCAGCAGUCUGUCUGGGCAUUUCUGAAGUUUCAGUAGCGCCCAUAAAACAGCCUCCCAGACUGCUGAUGUGGUCACCGGGGCCUCUGUCCCUGCAGAGUUAUUAGGAAGAGCUACUGCCUCUGAGACACCAGGAGAUGCACAAGCUCUGAUAAUUAGAAUGAAAUAAAAUCGAUGACUGGACGAACGUGCAGUUUACGAGCAAAGGCAACCUUUUGUUCUUUCCAAUUAGGCUCUCCCCCCCCAUGGACUUGGCAGAUGAAGCCGUGUUAUAAAUAGAAGUGAUAUUUUGUGGGGUUCUCCUCACUGAGAAGCACAUGAGGUCAAAUCCUAAUCAAGGUAAUAUAUAGAAGUAAUGAGCUGAGCCCACAUUCCCAAGCAUUUACCCAUCUAGUGGC